UGUAGUUCCUUGUAGGUGAGGUGUAGUUUAUUGUAGGUGAGGUGUAGUUUCUUGUAGGCGAUGUGUAGUUCCUUGUAGGUGAGGUGUAGUUCCUUGUAGGCGAGGUGUAUAU